GACGAGCCACCCGAACGUUAUUCGGAAUUACUGGGCUUAAAGGGUGCGUAGGCGGUGUAGCAAGUCGGGAGUGAAGUACCCCAGCUUAACUGAGGAAUUGCUUUCGAUACUGCUGCGCUUGAGUGAGACAGAGGUAAGCGGAACUUAGGGUGGAGCGGUGAAAUGCGUUGAUAUCCUAAGGAACACCGGUGGCGAAGGCGGCUUACUGGGUCUCAACUGACGCUGAGGCACGAAAGCUAGGGUAGCAAACGGG
rnacentral:rRNA from 1 species